CAAAAGGAGGUGGAAGUCUGUAUUCAAAGCAGUGUAUAAGGGAUGUUGUAAGUGUUCAUUUCUUUUUCCUGUAUUUCAGCUAUAUGCAUGUAAGGGUAAAAAUUGGGAUCAAUUGUCAUCUGCCUAAGCCAGAAGCCUGGACAACGUUAGACCCACCCCUAGAGCAGAGCAGAAAAGGAAAUCCUGACUUGAUUAUUAGUGGUCCUGACAAGUCUGAAUGCCCUGAAAAGGUCAUAGUUAUGAGGUCAGUAUUAAAAGCUAUUAAUACUUAACAUAUUAUUUU
rnacentral:lncRNA from 1 species